rnacentral:rRNA from 1 species
CCCUUAGAUGUUCUGGGCUGCACGCGUGCUACACUGAUAUUGCCAAUAUGUCAUUCUUAUCCGAAAUGGAUUGGGUAAUCAAGUAAUGAAAUUUCAUGCUUGGAAUCGGUAAUUGCAAUUUUAUCGUGAACGAGGAAUUCCUAGUAAGUACUAGUCAUCAGCUAAUGUUGAUUAUGUCCCUGCCCUUUGUACACACCGCCCGUCGCUACUACUGAUUGGGUGUUCAAGUGAGAUGCUUAGACCCUUGUUGCAUGGUUCAUUAUUGUGCUCCGAAAGGAAAAAGUUUCAAGCUUGAGUGUCUAGAGGAAGUAAAAGUCGUAACA